GUUUACGAACCCUCGAAGCACUGACCUUGGGAGUUGAGGGAUUGCUCUGGCCCUUCUCCCUAGUUUUAUUAUUGUGAUUUGUAUUCUGGAAUCUGUGGAUGUUCUACCAUGUGGCCAGUGUUGUAGCGGUUGGACAUCUCUUUAUAUUAAUUUGUUGCCGAGUCGUUUACUCUUUGGAGAAGUUACAGUAAAAGUUCACGCUAUUAAGGGAAGUGACAGCAGUUGGACUUUUGGUUACUCCCCUGGGCAGAGGCAGCAUUAGUGAACUUUUAUGUACUGCUUGAAGACCCCAGUGGACCUCUAGCGACUGGCGUUCAUCCUUCUGCUCUCAUGGAAUGAAGUCUACCAACGCAUGCCUACAUUGUAAGACCUAAUAUGUUGUGACUUGUAAUUUACCAUUUGAAACGUGGCUUGUUUAAAGAGUAUUGUUAGUUUACAGCCAUGGCAUCAGCAGAAGAGUGUCCUAAGGUUCGUUAAAUAAAAAAGACACAGGUUACGGUACAUUUUCAGUGCCAUCCAGCCUCCAAUUUUUUAAACUUUUUUUU